AGGUCACUGUGUGAUGGAGUAUGGAGGGCUACACUACUGUGAUGCCGUAGUCAAGAGCAACAUAAUGGCACAUUACUAAGGAAGGAAGGACUGGGGCAUCUGUGUUUGGGUUGGCUAUGUCUAAAUCAGCACUCCUUGUCCUAUCACAUCUCAGCGUGAUGGUGUUUUCCACAAUCAAGUUUUACGGUGUGCCAGCAGGACACCGUGUCCACGGGGACUCUCCGGAGAAAGAGGUGAGUACCAGGUGCUGCAUGCGGACCCUCUCAUGCUAUUACCACCAGACUGUCAUGGCUUUCUGUCCCAUUUUACCUUUCCUACACCCUCCCCCAACCCCGCAAGACAACAGGAUGGCACCACAACAGCUGCAUGUUCUGCAGCUUUGUCCAUUUACAGCAUAUUUCAUAGUCUUCGUGGAAUUUUUUUUUUUCCUCCUUAGUUUCGUGAAAUGGAGACCGCCGUGUAGCACAAAACAUGGAGGACUCAUUUUGUGUAGGCAACUUG